UGAGGAAUCUUGCGCAAUGGGGGAAACCCUGACGCAGCAACGCCGCGUGAGUGAGGAAGGCCUUCGGGUUGUAAAGCUCUGUCAGUUGGGAAGAAAUGGAUGGGGGCUAAUAUCGUCCAUCCUUUACGGUACCAUCAGAGGAAGCACCGGCUAACUCCGUGCCAGCAGCCGCGGUAAUACGGGGGGUGCAAGCGUUGUUCUGAUUCAUUGGUCGUAAAACGCGCGCAGGCGGCUUGGUAAGUCAGAUGUGAAAUCGCUGGGCUUAACCCAGGAAGUGCAUUUGAUAAUGGCACGAUAGAGUACGGGAGAGGAAAGGGGAAAUCCUGGUGUAGAGGAGACAUACGUAGAUAUCAGGAGGAACA
rnacentral:rRNA from 1 species